AUUGAACGCUGGCGGCAUGCUUUACACAUGCAAGUCGAACGGCAGCGCGGGCUUCGGCCUGGCGGCGAGUGGCGAACGGGUGAGUAAUAUAUCGGAACGUACCCAAGAGUGGGGGAUAACGUAGCGAAAGUUACGCUAAUACCGCAUACGAUCUAAGGAUGAAAGCAGGGGAUCGCAAGACCUUGUGCUCCUGGAGCGGCCGAUAUCUGAUUAGCUAGUUGGUGAGGUAAAGGCUCACCAAGGCAACGAUAAGUAGCUGGUCUGAGAGGACGACCAGCCACACUACAACUGCGACACGGUCCAGACUCCUACGGGAGGCAGCAGUGAGGAAUUUUGGACAAUGGGGGCAACCCUGAUCCAGCAAUGCCGCGUGAGUGAAGAAGGCCUUCGGGUUGUAAAGCUCUUUUGUCAGGCAAGAAAAGGCUGUGUCUAAUAUCCACAGCUGCUGACGGUACCUGAAGAAUAAGCACCGGCUAACUACGUGCCAGCCGCCGCCGUAAUAC
rnacentral:rRNA from 1 species